rnacentral:rRNA from 1 species
GACAGAGGGUGCAAACGUUGUUCGGAAUUACUGGGCGUAAAGCGCGUGUAGGCGGCUAAGUAAGUCGGGCGUGAAAUCCCACGGCUCAACCGUGGAAGUGCACUCGAAACUGCGUAGCUAGAGUCCUGGAGAGGAAGGUGGAAUGCUUGGUGUAGAGGUGAAAUUCGUAGAUAUCAAGCGGAACACCGGUGGCGAAGGCGGCCUUCUGGACAGUGACUGACGCUGGGACGCGAAAGCGUGGGGAGCAAACAGG